rnacentral:rRNA from 1 species
GACGAACGCUGGCGGCGUGGAUUAGGCAUGCAAGUCGAACGGUAUCAUCCUUUCGGGGGUGAGAGAGUGGCGAACUGGUGAGUAACACGUAGGUUAUCUACCCUCAAGACGGGGACAACCCAGGGAAACUUGGGCUAAUACCGGAUGUGAGCAACUUUUAGUUGUUUGAAAGGUGGCGUAAGCUGUCGCUUGGGGAUGAGCCUGCGUCCUAUUAGUUAGUUGGUGAGGUAACGGCUCACCUAGGCAAUGAUAGGUAGGCGGCCUUAACGGGUGGUCGCCCACACUGGGAUUGAGAUACGGCCCAGACUCCUACGGGAGGCAGCAGUCGAGAAUAGUCUACAAUGGUCGGAAGACUGAUAGCGCGACGCCGCGUGAACGAUGAAUCCCUUCGGGGUGUAAAGUUCUUUUAUAUGUGAGCAGUGCUUCUUAUAUUAACAGUAUGGGGAGAGAGAUAUUAGCAUAUGAAUAAGCAACGGCUAACUCCGUGCCAGCAGCCGCGGUAAACUCG